rnacentral:rRNA from 1 species
AUGAUGGUUACAACCAGUCUGCACCAGGGGAUGAUUGCAAUCAGCAAGCAUCACCUCCUUUGGCACAGAACCAAUCAUAUAUGUAUGAUAAAGGAAUUUCAUGCUUUAUUUUCUACGAUCAGCCAGAGAAAGAUUGGAGGAAUUAUGUUCACAAGGAUAUGUAGAUUCAUUUUCUUUGAAAUGGUUCUUCAGGCCGUCUUCUUUAUGACGAGCCAUACAGAUUGCACAAGGUCACUCAUCAGAGCUAUAUUUCAUAAGUUAGUACAACAAGAGGUAAAAUUAGUACUCCGUAUAUUUUUGGAAUUUUGUGGUUGUACUAUUUACGAAGACCGGAUAGAAGUACGAGGAGGAAUUAUGUUUGCAAGGAUUUUUACAUAA